UUCUUAUAUUUUUUGACAUUGGACUUCGAUAUUGGUUGAAGAGCUUCCAUAAUAGCAAUUCAAAUGCCAUUUUAUUUAUAUUUUUUCUUCUAUUUCUUCUUAUAGAUCUGAUACGGAUCAAUUGUAUCAAGGAUUAAUCCAGAUUUUUAUGAAAUUAAUAGGACCUAAAUAGGCCCAAUGUCUCCCAUCUAAGAUCGGAAUAUGAUCUAGAUUAAAGAGACAAUCUCGGGAGAUUUAAAGGAUGUUGCUAUGAGGCUCCUUUCACGAAAUUGAAGGUACCCCGAGUGUCGUGGUGGCUUGCUAGGAGGACGUCUGAAGUUUGGUGGCUGAUUGUGGAGUGAGGCUCGGUGAAUCGAUGGUCGGAAAGAUGGCCGGAGGGAGUUCACGAUGAAGAUGUAACGUAUGGAAUUUGUGUGGAGAUGAAGAGUGGAGGAAAACUGUAAUUUUUAUUUUAUAAUAAGCAAAAUACAUUUGGGCCCUUUAGGGAUAUUACAAUGGGUGCAAAAAUGUAAAAUGUCCAUAACUAAUGAGUGUUACUAACAUUCUUACAAUUUAUGAUUAAUUAAGUCCAAAAAUACUAAUUUAACCAAUUAAUUAAUCACCUUCCUCUAAUCGGGUUUGCCCUCUUUCUAAGUGGUGAAAUCGGUCACCCAAUGUGAGGGUUUUCUAUUUCGAGUUGAGCUCCGAACGGCUUGGGCAGACGGACCUAAUUUCUUCCCGGAUUCCUUGCUGGAAACGUUGCUGCAGUUACUUGACUCCGGCUGUUGUUCAUCUUUUACUUCUUCCAUCGAUGAUGCUAUCUUCUCCAGAUCUUUCACUACUUUCUCCGUAACAAGAUCCC
rnacentral:lncRNA from 1 species